CUUCUCAUGGUGUAGUUGGCAACGCGCCUGUCUAAUGGGUAGAGGUUGUGAGUUCGAGUCUCACCGAGAGGA
rnacentral:tRNA from 1 species